rfam:Moorella thermoacetica ATCC 39073, complete genome.
AACCGCUAAAGGCGAACCUGACCGAAAGGCGGGGGCGCAAAGCCACGGGCCUAAAGCCUCAACAGGCCAUGGCAGCCGGGUUGCCGGA